rnacentral:lncRNA from 1 species
CCAAUUUGUCACAGCCUGGAGCCACAUCUCCCCCUAGAGAUAAAGUAACUAUCCUUGGUGAUGGAAAUCCAAAAGGUAACACCCCAUUUUUUGCAUGAUCAGGUUGAUUAAGAAUUUUCAAAAUCACAAAUUUUCCUAUUUAUUAACUUUUGCUUGAUAAUCAAACAGCUGUUUUUAACAAGGAAGAGGAUAUUGGCACUUACACCAUCAAAGCUGUUAAUGAUCCAAGAACCUUGAACAAAAUUCUAUAUAUCAGACCUUCUUCUAACACCUUGUCAUUUAAUGAUCUUGUAUCCCUUUGGGAGAAGAAGAUUGGUAAGACUGUUGAAAGAGUCUAUGUUCCUGAGGAUCAAGUCUUGAAACAAAUUCAAGGUUAGUAAAUGACAAUAAUUAUUCAAAAGAUAUGUUAAAGUACAUAAUUUGUGUUACCACUUACUAGCAAUUUCAGAUGGAUGGUUCUUAAUGUUGUUUCAUUU